UGGCUCAGGACGAACGCUGGCGGCGUGCUUAACACAUGCAAGUCGAGCGGAAAGGCUCCUUCGGGGGUACUCGAGCGGCGAACGGGUGAGUAACACGUGAGUAAUCUGCCCUUGGCUUUGGGAUAAGCCCCGGAAACGGGGUCUAAUACCGGAUACGACGCACUCUCGCAUGGGAUGUGUGUGGAAAGUUUUUUCGGCCAGGGAUGUGCUCGCGGCCUAUCAGCUUGUUGGUGGGGUAAUGGCCUACCAAGGCUUCGACGGGUAGCCGGCCUGAGAGGGUGACCGGCCACACUGGGACUGAGACACGGCCCAGACUCCUACGGGAGGCAGCAGUGGGGAAUAUUGGACAAUGGGCGGAAGCCUGAUCCAGCAACGCCGCGUGAGGGAUGACGGCCUUCGGGUUGUAAACCUCUUUCAGUACCGACGAAGCGCCGAUGAUGGUGGUGACGGUAGGUACAGAAGAAGCACCGGCCAACUACGUG
rnacentral:rRNA from 1 species